rnacentral:misc_RNA from 1 species
UUUCUCAAGCAAGCAUUUUAAUUUACCCUUUCAUUUUUAAAAUUUAUGAUAAAGCUCGCUAAAAUCAUCCUUCCCCAUAACCUUACAUGACAAAGGAUACAGAUUUCAGAAAGGACAUAUGCACUUCAUACAAACAAGACAAAUUUAGUUGUUUAUGACAACACUUAAACAUAUCUUUUUUGAGGAGAUUUUCAAUCUGACAUGAGAAAAAUUCCCUAUCAAACACCAAAAAUUAAACAUGUUAAUCCCAACACUAUAUCUGUUAUUGCCAAUCAUAAACGCAAUCAAAUGCUAUAGUUUUGGCAGGCUGUGAACCACGUAAACAAGGGACUAUAAAAAACUUCCAUAUUUUUUUGAUGUACCUGCAAUUCCUUACAGGAACCAUGUACAAUUUAGAUAGUAACCCAAACCCCCAACCCAAUAAAAGGUUGGAAUUGGGGAAAAGAAAACUCUGCAACAUUUUUAAGAAUGAGAGAAUCAUGACAUCAAACUUAAGCUGUUGUGGAGCAACAUUAAGAUUUCUCAGACAUCUAAUCAUGGAAAGGAAAAAAGAUACUGCAGUGUAAGGUAUUGGCAGCAUAAAUUUAGGUAGCAAGUCAAGUCUCUCAUCUUAAUUAUCUCACGAAUUAACAAGAGAAAGUAGAUGGGUGGAUUUUUUAUGCCACUCUACAAAGAAGCCCUCGAGGCAUGUAGCCUAUAAGUCAUGUCUUUUCUUCAACAUAAAAAACCAAACCUAAUUGCUCCUCAACAAACAUCAGCUAUGGAAUGAUAAUUCAUAUCCACUUAACAAUAACACUAAGUGCUUAUUUCAUUUGAUGAAUACGCUUCUAGAGGCAUUCAAUACUCUACGUAGGACAAAACCAAACCAUUUUAAUCAACACUCCCUCUUUUUAUCCUCAAUGUGUGUUACAU